GGUCCAAAGAAUAAAUGAAUUAGGGUUUCAGCAUAUAUAUAAAAGGUUAAAUAUUAAACCCCCCAAUCUCCUCUCCCCCUAAACCCUAAACCCCCAAUCUGAGCAGCAAAAGCAAAAUCUGGGAGAUGGCGACGGUGCCAGGGCAACUGAUCUGGGAGAUAGUGAAGAAGAACAACUCUUUUCUGGUGAAGGAGUUCGGGAGAAGCCACGUACAUUUCUCUACAUCCCAUUUUGUUUGCUUUCUGUUUGGUUCCCGAGCAAGUUUGUUUUUAAAUUGAGAUGGUUUUCGAUCAGGGCUGGCAAACAAGAAAACUGUGACCAUUGAGGCUGUGGGUAAAGAUCAAUCUGUGUUGUUGGCAACAACUAAGACCAAGAAGCAGAACAAACCUGCUGCUUUGCUCCAUAAGUCUGUGAUGAAACAGGAGUUUCGCAGGAUGGCCAAGGCAGUCGCAAACCAGGUGGCAGAUAACUACUACAGGCCAGAUCUGAAAAAAGCAGCCCUUGCAAGGUUGAGUGUUGUUCACAAGAGCCUCAAGGUUGCCAAGUCUGGUGUCAAGAAGAGGAACAGGCAAGCUGUUAGAGUCUAUGGCAGGAAGUGAGUUACAGGGGGCUGAUACACCAGUGUUCUUUUCAUGAUUUUGGAUUUGAUUGGAUCGUCCUUGAAAACUCAAGAUGUAUUCGGAUUUUGGGGAUUUUAUUUAGUUUGUUUUGCAAAAGAUUCCUGGAUAUGAAAUUUUUUUUUUCAACCAA